UUGCCUCGUGGCUUCUGUCGAUUCGUGGCUUCGUCCCCAAUCGGUGAGGAGGGCGAUGAUUGGGUGAGAACCCUAGCAUCCACUCCCCAUCGCUGUUCCUCUCUUGCGGCCUGCCUCACUACUGCUACUCUCACCGCCGAGCUCGCCCGCCGCCGCCGCCGCCGCAUCAUCUUCUCCUCCUUGGGAACCCUAGAGCGUCUACUCUCCUGGCUGUUCGUAUCUUGGCUCGCCACAAAAAAUGGGCAAGGGUGGGUAGGACGAGGCCAUGGCUAGGGUUUCGGGCUGGGCAUCGCCUUCGUCGCCGGCGCGGACCCGGUGGACUCCGGCGGCUCCUCUCCGUCUCCUUUUCCGUCCCCACGCGCGGCUCCGCUUCCCGCUGGCCAUGGGGUGCAGCCUUACAGGGGCGCAUCGGGCUGGGUAUCCUCUGUUUCUGAGUGCAUGGGGCGGUUUGAGAUGGCUGCUACUCCCUACAAAUUGCUCCCUACACUGCUUGAUGUUACUAUUCCUCCAUCCAUAGUGAGAGAUGUGUUGUUGCUGCUGCUGUAGGUUGACAUUGUGUGCUCUUGGUGCUGUAGAUUUGAUUAUCUAUAGCUUUUUAGGCUGUUGCUGCUACCUCUGUUGUAUGCUUUGUAUGUUGCUGUUGUUAUUGAUUAUUUGUUUCUAAUAGUCUAAUUGGAGCACACACCGAUGGCUCUGUUUUCAAUUUGCAGAUUUGUCCCCAUCAAGUAAAACACUCUACAUCAGUGUAAUUGCAGCAAGAUUAGACAAUAGUUUGCUCCUUAUCAAUGCUUCACAUAUUGCUUGUGUUUAGGGCACUGCAUUGUUAGGUUCUUGGGAGUAUGGGAUUGUCUAUUUCUCUCUUAUGUACUAUCUAUUCUCGGUGUUGAACAAUGUUUUGGUAUAUGUUCAUCUACUAAUUACCAAAUUGUUUCCUUUCUCAGUGUUCUCCAGUGAUGGAAGGGGUUCUAAUGUUUUUCCAGUCAGGAUGAAAAUAAACUUCCAAAAAUAUGAACCAGGUGACAAUGAUUUUCUUGCAGUAAAUCUCCCUUAUUUGCUACGGUACUUUCGAUGGUUCAGCUACUAACUAAUUAGAUAAUAUCUAUUGUUGAUUUCUUAUUCUAUAAAAGUGCCUUGAGAUGCUCUUGAAAUAACCACAAUCCCAUUGUUUGUCAUAUCAUAAUAUAACAAACUGUCAUAUAUGAAGUUUUUCAUGAUACAAACAUAUAUUUGUUUGUUUGUAGGGCUCAGAUUUUAAAUUUCCAGUGGGUUGCUGACUAUUUCAGUUUUUUCAGCAAUUUGGACGCUCUUGACUGAUAUUGCUAUUAAGCUAUGAAGCAAAGAUAAUUGUUGGUCUCUACAGGAUGAGCCACCAACAUGAAUAAAUCCUUGCAUGUUCUUUUUACCCUUGAAUCAGUUUGCAUUUCCCCCUUAUUGUUGGUACAUUGCUCUGCAACAUUUUAUUCCUAUUAUACCAUGGCUACUUUAGUUGUAAGAGAUGCAUGCUUACAAAGUUUAAUUAUAUAUGUUCCGUAAAUAGGUUGCUUUCUAAAACACGUGCUGCAUAUACAAGGUUGAUCUCCAGGUCUAGCCAUGAGUCACUUUGUUGAUAGGUGUAUGCUUUUACGUAUUUUUAAAAUGAAAAUAGUCAUGGCGAAGUGUCUAAUCUUAGGUAUUUACAUACGGUUGAACCAUCGAUAUGAGAACUUUUUUGUAUUGCUUUCUUUUAGCUCUGUCCAUGGUGCUCUCAUGGAUGUAUUUAUACCUUUGCACAGCGGUGACACCUCUCCACGUAUACAUGUCCAAAAAUAUAUUUUAUGGAAAAUUGGAGAUCCGGUUGAAUCUGACCAAGUAAUCACUUUUCUCGCAGACUCUGCCUCUAUCCCAGUAAUUCUUUAACAAGUAUUCUUCUUCUUUUCUCAACCUCUUGCAUGCAAUUUCAGGUCACUCCAUCUAUCCGUGGAAUAUACAUGUUUGUAGCAUAUUUUGUGAUAUUUUGAACUUUUUUUUUCCAAGAUUAUUAUUGUACAUUUGUCUGUUUAACUUCCUGGAUGGCCUAAUUAUGAGCUUGCGGAUGCUCAAGAAAUCUCAAAGAUCUGUUUGGUGGUCUACAAACGUGUUUCUGUUUUUACAGUGAUAGACAAACUUUUAAUCGUGCCGGCCAAGUAUAGUUCUAGGAUCAAUGCUUAUAGUUUGUUGUCAACUACUUCCACUGAUGGAUGAUAUAUUUAUAUAGAUUGUGAGCAUUUUGGCAGGCCCAUCGCUCAGUAAAUAUACCAUAGACUGGACUGGUGGAUUGAGUAUAGUUGAUCAAUACAUAUUCUGUUAGACAUAUGUAUGUUUUUUAAAUCGGCCAUGUGACUGCUUGCUACCGGCUUGAAUUGACCCACUCCUACAUAUGAAAUUGUAAUUUGUUGACACACACUUAAAUAAGCAACCACAAUCUGUCCUAAAGGUGACAACCCUAUCUGUUUAGUGGAGUAACGGUUGAUGAUAUCUCUGUUUUGCUGAAAAGUCGCAUGUAAAAAUAAUGUUCAAUAACCAAUACCCGACCCCUGUCGAUUUAUUUCCAGUGGCCAUUUCCUAAAAUUCCAGGAGGGAGAGGGCGCUCUUCCAUCCACGCUGCUACGAAAGUGGAAUUAGGCUAUCGAAACUUGCUUUAUGGAGUAGUAUCAUCACGAAACCUUGCCUUUUCCUAUUCUAUUCGAUUGCUUACCCUGUUUCUGUGACAAAGGCCUGUAAUAGAUAUGAUUAGGCACAUAUUGAGUGUCCAAUAUCAUAAAUAUUGAGCAUACAAUUUCAAUUUCAACUUAAACAUACAAUCUGCUCUUUCUUCUUAAUAUAUAGAGGAGGGUAAUCAUAUAUUGUCUGUUUGAUAUUUGCAUGUAGUUAUUAUUUCAUAAAGGCCUAGCUAUGUUUGACCUUCUGUUAUAUCUGGACAUCUUGCUUCUAAAUUUCAUUCCAGAGAUAUGCUAAUAUUUCAUUUAGAUUGGUUGUCUUAGGAAAUGAUAAAAUGCAUUCUCUGUUUGUUCUAUCUUUCCCUGUUUUUGCCAUCUUCAGUAUUUGUUGUUUGUUCAUAAGUGUAACUUUUUGUCGUCGUUAGAGAGAGAGAGAGUGAUGUGAUGAGAGAUGAUGAGAGAGAGAGAGCGAUGUGAUGAGAGAUGAUCAUGUUUACAUUUUACAGCAAAAAAUGUUUCUUUGUUGAUCGGUUUUGCUCGAGGUAAAAAAUUCUACCUCCCUUUUUUGUUUCCAAUUAAGUCAUCUUUGCAAAUUUAUGUUGUGCAUGUACACACGUUUUUUUUUAAACUGCAUGAGAAAAGUUACCAGUAGAUAAGUUACAGAUCUGCCAUGAAUCCUAUUGUCCUUGCAGACCUACAUCAGCAAACUUUCGAUUACGUAUAUUCUUAUUGUUUGUUCAGUUGGCAUACUGCAUUGGUUAGGUUAUAGUCCAUGUGUGUAAGUCUUGAUAGCAUGAGCUUAUGUUGAGGGCACUUUGAUCAGGUGGCACUGCACACCUCAAAUCACGGCAAGUUUGUUCUUCACCUAUACAGUACUGUCACAGUCACCCGGCCAGAACUUGAAAAUUGAACCAGAGAGUAGUACUUUCUUAGGGAGCUAGGUCAAUGUUGUAUAAAAGGAGAUUUAUGAGAUUUCAGUCUUGAAAAAUUUAAAGGUUUAUCUAUAUCUGCUGCAAGGCUUGGAUUGCCAUAUAAGGCCGAAUUCAGCAUGUAAGAAAGCAGAAUAAUUCAUUGAUAGUGUCACGGUUUGAUCCAGCUCGAUGGCAAGCUCCUCUGCCCUCCCAGAGCCCGGUGAUGAUUUGUACGGUCAGUCCUCCCCGCACGAUGGUGGGCGAAGGAGGUGCACGUCUCCGACGAGUUUGUCGUGCCUCCCUCUGGUUCCGUGAUGGCCGACGGCGAGGUUGAUGGUGGAGCUGCGAACCAAAGUUGGAGCAUACCCUUUCGUUGGUGCUGUCAUUCUCUCCUCCACGACCGUUGUUGUCACGAGCCCAAGUCGCUUGGUUGGAUAUCAACGGCGUUGGUGGACCUAAUAGAAAUUGGAUGCUUCAAAGGAUUUGAAGGGAGUUUAUUGUAGGUGAGUGUGACAAUCUGCAGCCUCACAUGCAUCAUUAGCUUCCCUUAUCCUGCAACAGGUAUUUUUCAUGUUUUGUAUCUUGCUAGGUUCAAUUAUUUCUUGGCUUAGAGCAGCGACGCAAGUAGAGAGAGAGAGAGAGAGAGAGAGAGAGAGGCCGUUUCCUAGACUGCAGCUCCUCCCAUCAUCUUGGCUUGCAGGUCGCCAUUGUGACAGAGCCGGACGGGAUCUCGGGCCAGCCUGACACCUAGCUUCCGGUCCAGUGUGUUGCCAAAUUAGCCCCCUAGCUAUAAAGGUUUCAAUACUUCAGCUCAUGCAUGUCAUCAUUUUGUUAAUGUGUCAAAGUAAAGAGAAAAUUGAUGCAUUGAAUUAUUAAUGAAGUGGUUUGGAUGCGAACUGAAAUCUUUCACUUUGAAGGCUGGAGAUUUUUAUGAACUGUGAGUAUUCAUAGAGAUAUUCAGUUUAUAUGAAGCAAAAGAAAGGCACAUAGUAUCUUUACAUUGACAAUGUGAUUUUUAACCCAUUGUGAUACUGAAAACCUGAUAAAGAAUAUAUUUUAUGACUGAAUGUUUGAUGUGGGCUGGAAGAAUUUCAGUUUUGUUUUGUACAUGAAUCUUCUAUGUAGUCAUGGUACUGAAUGUCCUGACAUAUACCAGUAUGUUCUGUUUAUCUCCUACAACUAGUGAAAUGGUCUGUAUGUAAAGUAUUUAUGUUUAGUUAUAUUAUGUUGCCGGCGAUGCGUGGUUCUGGAACAUGAAGAUUAACAUUGUAGCUUUUGGUAUCUUGAAUUCUUAUGCUUUGUUAUUAACUUGAUGUGAACCAGUUUUUUCUAUUUGGUAUUGCCAUUGGCUUGCUUUCAGUGUCGUAUAACUAAACUCUUUUGGUUGAACUGGACGUGGAUUAAUUGUCCUGCCUUGCUUUUGGAACAAAGUAAAUGUAUCUUCUUUUUCAUGAGCUUGCAGAUCAAUUAUUCUAUAGAUACUAAUACAUUCAUUAGUUCCGAACAAGUACUAUAAUUUCCGAUGUACCAAAUGAUUAACACUACAGUGAAAUCUUACACGCUGGACCAAUUCGAUGUUUCUUCUUUCUCUUAAACUAGAAAAAAUCAUUGUCCUGUUAAAUACGUAUGCUAAACCAGGUUUCCUACUAACACAUCAUAUCAUUUGAUCAUUACCUUCUUGACCACAUCGUUGGGACAUGCACAGGUUCAUGUAAAGUGGUGCCUAUGAAGAUCAUCAACAAGGCAGUUGAGUGGAGUCACUUGUUAGUAUGAAGUGGCGCCUAUGAUGCAGAGGCAGGGGCAAACCCCCUUUUUGAAAAGAAAAAAAAUGAUGUUGAUCGACAAGGCAGUUGAGUGAAGCCACUUAUUAGUAUGCUUAGUAGUUGUGGCUUUGUGGUUGUCUCUCCUUUGCUAUGUUCAUGCUCUUAUUACCCCCUCUCUUAUAUCCACACUUGUGGUAUUCGGGUGGCUAUCUUUUGUGGUCUUAUGAACACACUGAAACCAAUUCUACCUUAUAAUCUUAAGCUGAUACUGAGCCCAUGUCUUGCUUA